GGUCUGUUUAUAGCAACAGGAGUGUGUUUAUAGCAAACAGGAGUGUGUUUAUAGCAACCAUACACAUGAUAAUAGCAAGAGGAGAUAUGUUUAUAUCAACCGGUGAUAUUUUUUUAGUAGCUGGAGAAAUGUGUGUAAUAUACAGUUAAAUGUUUAUAGCAAUCGGCUUAAUGUUUAUAGCAACCAGAGGUAUGUUUAUAGCAACAGGAGUGUGUUUAUAGCAACCAGAUUUAUGUGUAUAGCAACCAGAGACAUGAUAAUAGCAAUAGGAGAUAUGUUUAUAUUAACCGUUGAUAUGCAUUUAGUAACUGAGGAAAUGUCUGUAAUAUUCAGUGAAAUGUUUAUAGCAACCGGCUUAAUGUUUAUAGCAACCAGAGGGAUGUUUAUAGCAACAG
rnacentral:lncRNA from 1 species